AGAGUUUGAUCCUGGCUCAGAGCGAACGCUGGCGGCAGGCCUAACACAUGCAAGUCGAACGAACUCUUCGGAGUUAGUGGCGGACGGGUGAGUAACACGUGGGAACGUGCCUUUAGGUUCGGAAUAACUCAGGGAAACUUGUGCUAAUACCGAAUGUGCCCUUCGGGGGAAAGAUUUAUCGCCUUUAGAGCGGCCCGCGUCUGAUUAGCUAGUUGGUGAGGUAAAGGCUCACCAAGGCGACGAUCAGUAGCUGGUCUGAGAGGAUGAUCAGCCACAUUGGGACUGAGACACGGCCCAAACUCCUACGGGAGGCAGCAGUGGGGAAUCUUGCGCAAUGGGCGAAAGCCUGACGCAGCCAUGCCGCGUGAAUGAUGAAGGUCUUAGGAUUGUAAAAUUCUUUCACCGGGGACGAUAAUGACGGUACCCGGAGAAGAAGCCCCGGCUAACUUCGUGCCAGCAGCCGCGGUAAUACGAAGGGGGCUAGCGUUGCUCGGAAUUACUGGGCGUAAAGGGAGCGUAGGCGGACAUUUAAGUCGGGGGUGAAAUCCCGGGGCUCAACCUCGGAAUUGCCUUUGAUACUGGGUGUCUUGAGUAUGAGAGAGGUGUGUGGAACUCCGAGUGUAGAGGUGAAAUUCGUAGAUAUUCGGAAGAACACCAGUGGCGAAGGCGACACACUGGCUCAUUACUGGCGCUGAGGCUCGAAAGCGUGGGGAGCAAACAGGAUUAGAUACCCUGGUAGUCC
rnacentral:rRNA from 1 species